UGGCGCGGCGGCUCCGUUCGCCGGAGCAGCGUGCAGAGAAGAGAUCCCGCGCGCUGCUCCGUCGAACGUGGCUUCCUGCGUCG
rnacentral:pre_miRNA from 1 species